GACGAACCGUGCGAACGUUAUUCGGAAUCACUGGGCUUAAAGGGAGCGUAGGCGGGCUAUCAAGUCUGGGGUGAAAUCCCCCGGCUUAACCUGGGAACUGCGUCUGAUACUGGACGGCUAGAGUAUGGGAGAGGGAUGUAGAAUUCCAGGUGUAGCGGUGAAAUGCGUAGAUAUCUGGAGGAAUACCGGUGGCGAAGGCGGCAUCCUGGACCGGCAUUGACGCUGAUGAGCGAAAGCUAGGGGAGCA
rnacentral:rRNA from 1 species